UACAGAGGUCUCAAGCGUUGUUCGGAUUCAUUGGGCGUAAAGAGCUCGUAGGCGGUCUGUCGCGUCUGCUGUGAAAACUCAGGGCUUAACCCUGAGCUUGCAGUGGGUACGGGCAGACUAGAGUGCGGUAGGGGAGACUGGAAUUCCUGGUGUAGCGGUGAAAUGCGCAGAUAUCAGGAGGAACACCGGUGGCGAAGGCGGGUCUCUGGGCCGUAACUGACGCUGAGGAGCGAAAGCAUGGGGAGCGAACAGG
rnacentral:rRNA from 1 species